UUUGUCCUCAGAGGAGCAAAUUCCUUCCCAUUUAAUAACCAAACAAAACAACACACACACAACACAAAAGCAAAAGCAAAUGAAAAACGUUUUGCAGGGAACGUGCAAAUGUUACAUGUUAGUUUUCAUUGUUGCAUGUACACAAGGGCAUCCACUGAGGAGAGAUCAGUGCAUUCCGUAGUUUAGAACAAGAGUCACAGUCUAUUUAUCCCAUCUACUUCCCCUGAGAAAAAAACUCACUACAUUAUGAUAUACUGUGCUGUCCAGUGUGGUAGCAACUAACCACAUGCACCUAUUUAAAUUUAAAUUCAAAAUUAAAUAAAAUCUAAAAUGCAACACUUUAGCUCAUCCUAGUGUGAUUCCAAGUGCUCAGUAGCGACAUGUGCUCAGCUGCUGUAGUGGACAGUGCAGACCUAGAAGGUUCUAUUGGACAUCACUGCCUGACCUGUAGAGGGUCUCCUGGCCCCACCCAGCUUCUUCUCAGGGUCUUCCAUGACACCUGGGUCCCAGAUCUUGGCCUGGCCACCUGCUAGCUGUGUGUCCUCAUUAAAGCCACCCAAACGUUCAGACUCAGCUUUCCUCUCUCUCAAAAUAAAAAGGGAAGCGCACGUUGAGUCAACACAGCGGCCUGAGACUGCUGUCCUUAGAAAGGCCUGCAUACAAGGUUAGCUCUUGGCUGGCAUCUGGGCGCUUGGGUUGUGAGAGACGCCCGCCGUUCCUUCACGAUGACUCACUGUGUAAACUCUGUGCAAAUAAUAUGGUUUAUGUUACACACCUGCUUCGCCUGUGACUGUGGAAUUCUGAUCAGUGCUACAGAUGGGGCCUGCAUGGCCACCCCCCCAAUAAAAACUUUAGGUACUGAAUUUCUAAUGAGCUCCCCUGGUUGGCACCAUUUUAUUUGCUGGAGGAAUUAAGUGUGUCCUGUGUGACUCCACUGGGAGAGGACUCUUGGAAGCCUGCACCUGGUUUCCUAUGGAUUUUGUCCCAUGCGUUUCUUCCACGGCUGAUUUUGCUCUGGUUCAACUAAAUCAUGGCUGUGCCUCUCUGCCAAGUCCCGUGAACCCUCCAGGGAAUCACAGAACCUGGAGGUUCCUGGGGACCCUGCCCAAGUGCCAUGCUGGGUGGAGUCAAGACACUAAUCAUUACAAAAUUCUACGAGAUAGGUUUCAUUAUCCACAGUUGACAUUUUCUAUUAUCCCACAACCUACCUCACAGAGUUGCUCUAAGGCAUUAUUUAGAUGUCAUAUGCAAAAUACUAAGUACAGCAUCAGUCUAAGUAGGUGCUAACAAAUGUUCAUAAUUAUUAUUUUUGCCUCGAUGUGUGACUGAGGUAGCAGCAAUGCAUUUAUACCUUCUUUCUUCUUUUUUUUUUUAAAUCCUCACCUGAGGAUAUGUUUUUAUUGAUUUUUAGAAAGGAAGAGAGGGAGAAAGAGAAACAUCAAUGUGAAAAACAUCGAUCAAUUGCUUCCAGUACACGCACUGACCAGGAAUCAAACAUGCAACCUAGGUAUGUGCCCUGACUGGGAAUCGAACCCACAACCUUUUGGUGUAUGAGAAAACACUCCAACCAACUGAGUCAGCUGGACAGGGGGUUAUACCUUCUUGUACUGCAUAUUCAAUUAUAUAUGCUUGCAUAAUAUCACCCCUUCCCUUAAUUUUUUUGAGUCUAAGAUAAAUAUGGGAACAAGAAUAUGGUAGCAACAUAAUUAAGAGAAGAUAUAAACCUAGUGUUCAUUCACUCUCAGGAACAUUCAUUUAAAGCUCACUUACUAAAAAGCAGUUUUCACUGGAAUUCAGACCUCAAUGUCUCCGUUCCUUCAGUAGUUCUUUUGGAUCUGAAAAGUGUUCCUUUGAGCUAAAAUACGACAGUGAGGCUGUGUUUAGGGAACUAGCAGACAGCAGAGGAAACCAGAUCUGGGCAUUUUGGGGUUUUUAUUUAAAGUUUCACUUCUCUUCACGCUUAAACACCUUUGAGAACUGAACAGGAAGCCCAGAUGGUCUUCAGGGGCUGUGGCUGCCAUGGCCGCCCUGGAGGUUCCAAUCAUGUAGUUCUCUAAAAUCAAUAAAAACAUAUUUAAAAAAAAA